rnacentral:rRNA from 1 species
AGAGCGAACGCUGGCGGCGUGCUUAACACAUGCAAGUCGAACGCGCAGCAUUCUGUAGCAAUACAGGGUGUGGGCGCGUGGCGAACGGGUGCGUAACACGUGGAUAACCUUCCUUCAGGUGGGGAAUAACCCAGUGAAAAUUGGGCUAAUACCGCAUAACAAAACGAUGAGACAUCUUGUUGUUUUCAAAGGCGCAAGUCGCCAGAAGAGGGAUCCGCGGCCGAUUAGCUUGUUGGCGAGGUAAUGGCUCACCAAGGCAAUGAUCGGUAGCCGGACUGAGAGGUUGGCCGGCCACACUGGAACUGAGACACGGUCCAGACUCCUACGGGAGGCAGCAGUGGGGAAUCUUGCACAAUGGGCGAAAGCCUGAUGCAGCAACGCCGCGUGGGGAUGAAGCUUCUCGGAGUGUAAACCCCUUCGACCCGGAAGAACGCCCGCAAGGGUUGACGGUACGGGUAUAAGAAGCCCCGGCUAACUACGUGCCAGCAGCCGCGGUAA